rnacentral:rRNA from 1 species
UACGUAGGUGACAAGCGUUGUCCGGAAUCAUUGGGCGUAAAGAGCGUGUAGGCGGCCCGGUAAGUCCGCUGUGAAAGUCGGGGGCUCAACCCUCGAAUGCCGGUGGAUACUGUCGGGCUAGAGUGCGGAAGAGGCGAGUGGAAUUUCCGGUGUAGCGGUGAAAUGCGUAGAUAUCGGAAGGAACAUCAGUGGCGAAAGCGGCUUCCUGGACCAGCACCGACGUUCAGGCACGAAAGCGUGGGGAGCAAACAGG